rnacentral:rRNA from 10 species
GGGGUGAAGUCGUAACAAGGUAACCGUAGGGGAACCUGCGGUUGGAUCACCUCCUUACCUUAAAGAAGC